AGCAGAGGACUGAAAAUCCUCGUG
rnacentral:tRNA from 1 species